GAUGAACGCUGGCGGCGUGCUUAACACAUGCCAGUCGAACGGUGAAGGCGGAGCUUGCUCUGCUGGAUCAGUGGCAAACGGGUGAGUAACACGUGAGCAAUCUGCCCCUGACUCUGGGAUAAGCGCUGGAAACGGCGUCUAAUACUGGAUACGAGCUGCGAAGGCAUCUUCAGCAGCUGGAAAGAACUUCGGUCAGGGAUGAGCUCGCGGCCUAUCAGCUUGUUGGUGAGGUAACGGCUCACCAAGGCGUCGACGGGUAGCCGGCCUGAGAGGGUGACCGGCCACACUGGGACUGAGACACGGCCCAGACUCCUACGGGAGGCAGCAGUGGGGAAUAUUGCACAAUGGGCGAAAGCCUGAUGCAGCAACGCCGCGUGAGGGACGACGGCCUUCGGGUUGUAAACCUCUUUUAGCAGGGAAGAAGCGAAAGUGACGGUACCUGCAGAAAAAGCGCCGGCUAACUACGUG
rnacentral:rRNA from 1 species